GAGAGAAAUCCAGCACAUUGGAGCGCCAUAUGACAAUUGUGAAGAGGGGAGAGAGUUCAAAAAACAGUACGGGUUUAACUACACACGAAACUUUUGUCAAAAACAGUGCGAGCAAAACAUCAUACAACAGAAGUGCGGAUGUUUUGAGCAUGAACUCGACUUUGACAAGGAAAACAAAACAAACCUGUUGAAACAGUGUAACGAUGAAACAGAGCGCAGGUGCCUAUACCGGGUCAAGUGUGA